rnacentral:tRNA from 1 species
UCUCCGGUAGCUCAAUUGGCAGAGCACCCGGCUGUUACCCGGAUGGUUUCAGGUUCAAGUCCUGACUGGAGAG